rnacentral:rRNA from 1 species
GACGAACGCUGGCGGCGUGCUUAACACAUGCAAGUCGAACGCAGUGGCGAACGGGUGAGUAAUACGUGGGUAACCUGCCCUCCUUUUUGGGAUAAGCCUUGGAAACGGGGUCUAAUACAAUAUCAUGGGGGAUGGGCUAGCGGCCUAUCAGCUUGUUGGUGGGGUAAUUGCAUAACAAGGCGGUGACGGGUAGCCGGCCUGAGAGGGUGACAGGCGACAGAGAGACGGAGAUACGGCCAAGAGUACGAAGGGGGGGAGCAGUGGGGGAGAUUGCACAAUGUGCGAAAGCGUGAUGCAGCGACGCCGCGGGGGGGAUGAAGGCGGUCGGGUUGUAAACCUCGUGCGCAACCGAACGGGUAGGUGGAGAGGAAGCGCCGGCUAACUACGUGCCAGCAGCCGCGGUAAUUC